UCGUUGACGGGCAGGAAGUCAGUACACAGGCUGGCGGUGAAGGUGCAGACAGGGAGCAGACAGAGAGAUCUUGAAUACCAGGGGCAGGCAGAGAGAUCUUGAAUACCGGGGGCAGGCAGAGAGAUCUUGAAUACCGGGGGCAGGCAGAGAGAUCUUGAAUACCAGGGGCAGGCAGAGAGAUCUUGAAUACCAGGGACAGGCAGAGAGAUCUUGAAUACCGGGGGCAGGCAGAGAGAUCUUGAAUACCAGGGGCAGGCAGAGAGAUCUUGAAUACCAGGGACAGGCAGAGAGAUCUUGAAUACCGGGGGCAGGCAGAGAGAUCUUGAAUACCGGGGGCAGGCAGAGGUCGAUGCACGGUGCAGGGACAGAACUUAUUGCGGGAACGCUCAGUAUAAACACACAAGACAAACUGGCAACUGGAACAAACAGAGAAGACAGGUUAAUUAAGUAGGCCAUAAUUGUAAAAUGGAAUAGAGAACCUCAAACUUUUUCCUAUUGAUGGAUUUUGAUAUGUGUACAGAACUAUAAAUAUAGCACCACAGACCUCGUGGACUUAAUCACAGAAUCUAGACAAUUACAGAGAUUUUGGCAUUUUACAUUUUGAUAAUAAUAAUAAUUACCAUCGGAUUUCGUCUUCCCUAAAAGUUGAGUAAAUCUGGAAGGACAUUGGGCUCUGCCAGUGGUGUGUAUGUUGUUAUUUAAUUCUACCUCCUUGGUUGUGGCAGUGAAUCCUGUUAAUCUCCUUGUGGACUUAGUUUUCACUUACUGUGCAUAACAUUACUGUUGUGUAAACAUGUCCAGAGGCAUAUCUGCCCAGAAGAAAAACAAAAAACGAAAAGAAAUGCAAUAUCUCAUAAAAUGUAAGACUAUUUUAUGUAGUUUGGUGACGACCCAGUAGAUGAACUGAUGCUCUGGCUGGAUAGUGAUGCUGUGGAGGAGAAUGUGUAUGCUAAUUGGGCUGAUUCGUAUGCUAAUGAUGAGAAACAGCGUUUGGCUCUGAUAGAUACUGGAGGUCGGAAAGGCUUGGCGGUUCUAGUGUUAAUGGAAAAAGUAGUUUGUGAAAUCAUGAUUGACUCUCUGCAGGCUGUCAGGCUGUCUGGUCAAAGAGAACGAGUCGGAUUAUCUGGUCUCAGCUCUGAAGAAAAACGCCUCACACCUGAAAGAACUGGAUCUGAGCUUGAAUCACCUAGGAGACUCAGGAGUCAGACUGCUCUCUGCUGGACUGGAGGAUCCACGCUGGAGACUGGAGAAACUAAAACUGUCAGGUUGUGAAAUCACUGCGAGAGUCUGUGCUUCUCUGGUCUCAGCUCUGAAGUCAAUCCCCCCACAACCAAAAGAGCUGGAUUUGUCUAACGUGAAUCUGAAGGAUACAGGAGUGGAGAAGCUCCCUGCUUUGCUGAAGGAUUCACAAUGUAGACUGGAGACUCUGAGAGUGGAUCAUAUAGGAGAGUGGAGGUUGAAAUCAAGACCGAAG